GAUGAACGCUAGCGGCAGGCCUAACACAUGCAAGUCGAGGGGUAACUAGAGUGAUAGCAAUAUUACUUUGGCUAGACCGGCGCACGGGUGCGUAACACGUAUGCAACCUACCUUAUACUGGGGAAUAACUUCGAGAAAUCGGCGCUAAUACCCCAUAACACUGCGGAGAGGCAUCUCUUUGCAGUUAAAGCUCCGGCGGUAUAAGAUGGGCAUGCGUCCAAUUAGCUAGUUGGUGAGGUAACGGCUCACCAAGGCUACGAUUGGUAGGGGUUCUGAGAGUAGGAGCCCCCACACUGGAACUGAGACACGGACCAGACUCCUACGGGAGGCAGCAGUGAGGAAUAUUGCGCAAUGGACGAAAGUCUGACGCAGACAUGCCGCGUGCAGGAUGACGGCCCUAUGGGUUGUAAACUGCUUUUGUACGGGAAUAAACCCUUCUACGUGUAGGAGGCUGAAGGUACCGUAAGAAUAAGCACCGGCUAACUCCGUGCCAGCAGCCGCAGUAA
rnacentral:rRNA from 1 species